rnacentral:tRNA from 1 species
GAGCUCUAUGUGAAUAUUCUUGGCCUGCUAAGCCAAAGAAUCCGUGGUUUAACUCCAUAGAGAGCUCG